AGGAACCGGUCAGUCGCCAACCAUGUUGGUUGGUGGAUGAUUGAUUCCUAA
rnacentral:pre_miRNA from 1 species